UACGAGGGGGGCGAGCGUUGUUCGGAAUUAUUGGGCGUAAAGGGUGCGUAGGCGGUUCCGCAAGUCCUGUGUGAAAUCUUCGGGCUCAACUCGAAGUCUGCACGGGAAACUGCGGGGCUUGAGUGUGGGAGAGGUGAGUGGAAUUCCUGGUGUAGCGGUGAAAUGCGCAGAUAUCAGGAGGAACACCGGUGGCGAAGGCGGAUCUCUGGGCCAUUACUGACGCUGAGGAGCGAAAGCGUGGGGAGCGAACAGG
rnacentral:rRNA from 1 species